AGAGUUUGAUCCUGGCUCAGAUUGAACGCUGGCGGCGUGCUUAACACAUGCAAGUCGUGCGAGAAGGGGGACUUCGGUCCCUGAGUAGAGCGGCGCACGGGUGAGUAACGCGUGGAUAAUCUCCCCAGAAGUUCGGGAUAACGGCGGGAAACUGCCGCUAAUACCGGAUACGCUCCAAUUUCGGUUGGGGGAAAGGCGGCCUCUGUUUACAAGCUGUCGCUUCUGGAUGAGUCCGCGUCCCAUUAGCUUGUUGGUGGGGUAAUGGCCUACCAAGGCUACGAUGGGUAGCUGGUCUGAGAGGAUGAUCAGCCACACUGGAACUGAAACACGGUCCAGACUCCUACGGGAGGCAGCAGUGGGGAAUAUUGCGCAAUGGGGGAAACCCUGA
rnacentral:rRNA from 1 species